GACGAACGCUGGCGGCGUGCUUAACGCAUGCAAGUCGAACGGAGAGGCCCUGCUUUUGUGGGGUGCUCGAGUGGCGAACGGGUGAGUAACACGUGAGUAACCUGCCCUUGACUUUGGGAUAACUUCAGGAAACUGGGGCUAAUACCGGAUAGGAGCUCCUGCUGCAUGGUGGGGGUUGGAAAGUUUCGGCGGUUGGGGAUGGACUCGCGGCUUAUCAGCUUGUUGGUGGGGUAGUGGCUUACCAAGGCUUUGACGGGUAGCCGGCCUGAGAGGGUGACCGGCCACAUUGGGACUGAGAUACGCCCCAGAAUCCUACGGGAGGCAGCAGUGGGGAAUAUUGCACAAUGGGCGGAAGCCUGAUGCAGCAACGCCGCGUGCGGGAUGACGGCCUUCGGGUUGUAAACCGCUUUCGCCUGUGACGAAGCGUGAGUGACGGUAAUGGGUAAAGAAGCACCGGCUAACUACGUG
rnacentral:rRNA from 1 species